rnacentral:rRNA from 1 species
GCUCAGGAUGAACGCUAGCUACAGGCUUAACACAUGCAAGUCGAGGGGCAGCAUGGUCUUAGCUUGCUAAGGCCGAUGGCGACCGGCGCACGGGUGAGUAACACGUAUCCAACCUGCCUUAUACUCCCGGACAGCCUUCUGAAAGGAAGAUUAAUACGGGAUGGNAUCACGAGCCAGCAUUUUCUCGUGAUUAAAGAACUUCGGUAUAAGAUGGGGAUGCGUUCCAUUAGAUAGUAGGCGGGGUAACGGCCCACCUAGUCGACGAUGGAUAGGGGUUCUGAGAGGAAGGUCCCCCACAUUGGAACUGAGACACGGUCCAAACUCCUACGGGAGGCAGCAGUGAGGAAUAUUGGUCAAUGGGCGCGAGCCUGAACCAGCCAAGUAGCGUGAAGGAUGACUGCCCUACGGGUUGUAAACUUCUUUUAUAAAGGAAUAAAGUGAGGCACGUGUGCCUUUUUGUAUGUACUUUAUGAAUAAGGAUCGGCUAACUCCGUGCCAGCAGCCGCGGUAAUACGGAGGAUCCGAGCGUUAUCCGGAUUUAUUGGGUUUAAAGGGAGCGUAGAUGGGUUGUUAAGUCAGUUGUGAAAGUUUGCGGCUCAACCGUAAAAUUGCAAUUGAUACUGGCAGUCUUGAGUACAGUUGAGGUAGGCGGAAUUCGUGGUGUAGCGGUGAAAUGCUUAGAUAUCACGAAGAACUCCGAUUGCGAAGGCAGCUUACUAAACUGCCACUGACAUUGAUGCUCGAAAGUGUGGGUAUCAAACAGGAUUAGAUACCCUGGUAGUCCACACGGUAAACGAUGAAUACUCGCUGUUUGCGAUAUACUGCAAGCGGCCAAGCGAAAGCGUUAAGUAUUCCACCUGGGGAGUACGCCGGCAACGGUGAAACUCAAAGGAAUUGACGGGGGCCCGCACAAGCGGAGGAACAUGUGGUUUAAUUCGAUGAUACGCGAGGAACCUUACCCGGGCUUGAAUUGCACUCGAAUAUAGCGGAAACGUUAUAGCUAGCAAUAGCGAGUGUGAAGGUGCUGCAUGGUUGUCGUCAGCUCGUGCCGUGAGGUGUCGGCUUAAGUGCCAUAACGAGCGCAACCCUUGUCUAUAGUUACUAACAGGUGAUGCUGAGGACUCUAUGGAGACUGCCAUCGUAAGAUGUGAGGAAGGUGGGGAUGACGUCAAAUCAGCACGGCCCUUACGUCCGGGGCCACACACGUGUUACAAUGGGGGGUACAGAGGGCCGCUACCACGCAAGUGGAUGCCAAUCCCGAAAGCCUCUCUCAGUUCGGACUGGAGUCUGCAACCCGACUCCACGAAGCUGGAUUCGCUAGUAAUCGCGCAUCAGCCAUGGCGCGGUGAAUACGUUCCCGGGCCUUGUACACACCGCCCGUCAAGCCAUGGGAGCCGGGGGUACCUGAAGUGCGUAACCGCAAGGAGCGCCCUAGGGUAAAACUGGUGACUGGGGCUAAGUCGUAACAAGGUAGCCGUACCGGAAGGUGCGGCUG